ensembl:lncRNA
CAGACUUCUUGGGAGACCAUCAGCAUGAUGCCCAUUAGUUCUUGAUGGUUUGCCUGUCUCAUCUGAAAGAGGAGGGCGAGCUUCUGCGAAGCUACUGGCCUACAUACACAUGCCCAGUAGCUAAUAUGGAGUUUAAGCUCAACCGACUUCGCACCUGCAACAGGGGAGCUUUAGAGAGGAUUCCAACUACCUCUCUUUGGUGAUCAGUCCUCAAGGAUGCCUCACUGACAGCCUGGAACAGUACUUCAAACAUCUUCAUUGGACUGCUCAUGCAGUGAGUGUGCCGGCGCUAAAGCCUCUAAGGCCCUGGAAUUAAUCACCUGUCCACGAAAGCAAAGAGAAAACAGUUGACAAUGGAAAAAGAGGAAGAAGACUGCAAAUAAGCCUGGAAGAUCACAGGAAAGAUAGACAGCAAUUCGUAGAUAGAUAGAUAGAUAGAUAGAUAGAUAGAUAGAUAGAUAGAUAGAUAGAUAGAUAGAUAGAUAGAUAGAUAGAUAGAUAG